rnacentral:rRNA from 1 species
UACGAAGGGGGCUAGCGUUGCUCGGAAUCACUGGGCGUAAAGCGCACGUAGGCGGCUUCUUAAGUCAGGGGUGAAAUCCUGGAGCUCAACUCCAGAACUGCCUCGGAUACUGGGCGUCUCGAGUGUGGUAGGGGUAUGCGGAACUAUCGGUGGAGCGGUGAAAUGCGUUGAUAUCGAUAGGAACUCCGGUGGCGAAGGCGGCAUACUGGACCACUACUGACGCUGAUGCGCGAAAGCCAGGGGAGCAAACGGG